UACGUAGGGGGGCUAGCGUUGUCCGGAAUCAUUGGGCGUAAAGAGCGUGUAGGCGGUCCGGUAAGUCCGCUGUGAAAGUCGGGGGCUCAACCCUCGAAUGCCGGUGGAUACUCCCGGGCUGGGAGCAGGUAGGGGAGAUCGGAAUUCCUGGUGUAGCGGUGAAAUGCGCAGAUAUCAGGAGGAACACCGGUGGCGAAGGCGGAUCUCUGGGCAGUAACUGACGCUGAGGAGCGAAAGCGUGGGGAGCGAACAGG
rnacentral:rRNA from 1 species